rnacentral:rRNA from 1 species
AGAGUUUGAUCAUGGCUCAGAUUGAACGCUGGCGGCAGGCUUAACACAUGCAAGUCGAGCGGUAACAGAAAUAGCUUGCUAUUUGCUGACGAGCGGCGGACGGGUGAGUAAUGCUUGGGAAUAUGCCUUAUGGUGGGGGACAACAGUUGGAAACGACUGCUAAUACCGCAUAAUGUCUACGGACCAAAGGGGGGGAUCUUCGGACCUCUCGCCAUUUGAUUAGCCCAAGUGAGAUUAGCUAGUUGGUAAGGUAAUGGCUUACCAAGGCGACGAUCUCUAGCUGGUUUGAGAGGAUGAUCAGCCACACUGGGACUGAGACACGGCCCAGACUCCUACGGGAGGCAGCAGUGGGGAAUAUUGCACAAUGGGGGGAACCCUGAUGCAGCCAUGCCGCGUGUGUGAAGAAGGCCUUCGGGUUGUAAAGCACUUUCAGUUGUGAGGAAAGGUGUGUAGUUAAUAGCUGCAUACUGUGACGUAACAACAGAAGAAGCACCGG